UUUACAUUUUUGAAACGAUAUUACUGAAACAUUUAGUAUAAUUAAUUAAUAUUUAUUUUGUUAGAGUAUGUGUUGUGCUAAAUAGUGAUACUAGAAGCUACAUUUAUAAUAUUUACCUCAGUUAAAAAAUACUGCUGGUAACGUUGAAGCACUUGACGGGCUUCGUCAACCGUCAGUUAUAAAAGCUCUGUUAAAUACAUUUUGUUCCGGGUUUUAAUGAAUUACGUUACAGUCCUGCUUUAUUUCUUUGUCAUUUUAAAUUAAAUUGCCAAUCAGAAUAAGACAGCUGUGUUGUAAGGAGACGAAAUUCGAGACAGUCAUUUCAGUGAAGCGCGUGGUCAAAGGAACCGGGUGGAAGACGGUAGAAGGGAAAUUAUAUGUAGUUAAAUGUUUGUCGCAGUUUUACACAUAUUCCGUGAGUAUUUUUCGCUUGUUCACGAGUGUUUUAUCAGGGUUGGAGCUAAACUCGGAAGGAAAGUGGAAACUGCUGGCCACAGUUGAGAACAUUCCGCCGGUCUGUAUUAUAAAUGCACGAUUGCAGUGCAGCGUUUGUAUCCGCAACAAAUAACCAUGGUUAAUAAAUGAUCAGACACGUCACUGGCUUUAAAAUAUAAACCCCAUUGAUGCAAAAAGAUGCUGCAUGGAAUGACAAUGAGGUUUGGAACAGACUUGGUGAAGAACAUGGAAACAUCUCUUAAUAAAAUGGCCCCAAACAUCAUCACGAGUGCAAAAGAAGGAAGUAAAAAACAUCUCUACGCCAAUCUCAUUGGAGCGGAAACCACAGAAGGUCUGGUGAGGAAUGCUGCACUUAUGUUAUUGCCAGCAUUAUUUCAAGAAAAUCCCAGCUUCCUUGACUGUGUAAAUGGUGUAGGUAUAGUCUUCUGUAAUUUAGUUAGCAUUUGAGGCACUUUAUUUAAAGUAACAUUCAAUGCAAAUAUAAAAAUAUUACUCUGUUUACCCUUAAAUAGCAUACAGCUCCACAUCAUUUAUUAUGAGUCUUGUUUUUUCGUGAGUGUCGCUUGCCUAGUUGUCAUACUUUAUUUGUGUUAUUAUGGGAUAAUUUUAAGUCUAUUUGAUGGCUUCUGUUAAUUGGUAAGAAGCACU